UACGUAGGGUGCAAGCGUUGUCCGGAAUUAUUGGGCGUAAAGAGCUUGUAGGCGGUUUGUCGCGUCUGCUGUGAAAUUUCGGGGCUCAACCCCGAACUUGCAGUGGGUACGGGCAGGCUAGAGUGUGGUAGGGGAGACUGGAAUUCCUGGUGUAGCGGUGAAAUGCGCAGAUAUCAGGAGGAACACCGAUGGCGAAGGCAGGUCUCUGGGCCACUACUGACGCUGAGGCGCGAAAGCGUGGGGAGCAAACAGG
rnacentral:rRNA from 1 species